rnacentral:lncRNA from 1 species
AUAUUUUAACCCUGUAAUGUUCUUCUUUAAAUCCUUUUUCCAAUAAAAAACGUGUACACUGCAGACGAGUAACUAACAGAAGAGGUGAAGUUGAAAAAGACAUCUGUACUGGAUCUUUGAUGGCAAAGAGCUAUAAUGCAGAAGAAGGGGAAGGAAAAGAAGACUGCAUAGAACAGGUAAAACACUUUCUCUUAAUGUUUAUCAAAGACAUUUAAAUU